CCUACGGGGGGCAGCAGUGAGGAAUAUUGGUCAAUGGGCGCAAGCCUGAACCAGCCAAGUCGCGUGAGGGAAGACGGCCCUACGGGUUGUAAACCUCUUUUGCCGGGGAGCAAGCCUGAGCACGUGUGCCCAGGCGGAGAGUACCCGGAGAAAAAGCAUCGGCUAACUCCGUGCCAGCAGCCGCGGUAAUACGGAGGAUGCGAGCGUUAUCCGGAUUUAUUGGGUUUAAAGGGUGCGCAGGCGGAAUGUCAAGUCAGCGGUAAAAUUUCGGGGCUCAACCCCGUCGUGCCGUUGAAACUGGCGUU
rnacentral:rRNA from 1 species